CCUCGUCAGUCUGCCGUGAGCCAUCAACAGACGUCCGAUCCCUGGUUUCCUCGCUGCGAACGGUAGACCGCAACAGUCGCGAAAUCCCUAGACAACCUCGUCGAACCGUCACCCUCGAUCGCCCUCGCCGCCGCCAUCGCGUCCUCCUCCGACGACGAUGAGAUGAUCCGUGCCGAUCCGUUGCCGUCGACACCGCCUCCCUCAAGCUGGCGACCCCUGCCCUCACCAUCGUCGCCUCCCCCGGUUCAUCGCCGUCGUCACCAGCCUCAUAUUCAUCGGAGACCUCACCGUUGUCUGCGCUUGCAACCCGCCGUGGCCGUUGGGCUCAGGACGUGUUGGAAGCAGCCAUCCUACCUCGGCCGGCCUCCGUCGAUGCCGCCGCCGCUCGACAUCCUCCACGAGUUCACGCAGCGCAGGUCCCCUGCACUACUUUUAUUCCGUUGAACAACUGGCUAAUCGGUUCAUUCAUUGAGGCAGGAGUUCAGGAAGACAAGGGUGAACUUAAACUCCAUGAGGGAGCACCGGAGCACGCCUCUCUCCUCAGCUCGGUGCAUGAUGACAUUAUCAAGUCCAAGGGCCACUUGUUGUCACAAUCUCUUCUGAUGCUGUUCCUGGAAGCUGAUGUCUCCAAGAGUGCAUUUGCUCAGGGACAAGACUUCUAUUCAUGGCAGCAUCAACCAGAUUUUUCAAAAGGAAAACAUGAACGAAUUUAUCUCUGAGUUUGGGUGACCAUCGCAGUAACCGCUAAGCUCAAGAGGUAAAAGGAUAUCUUAGUUGUCUGUUCAGCUAUUAGAUAUGAUAGGUGUACCGAACUGAACUGAAGAUAGU